rnacentral:rRNA from 1 species
ACUCAAAUGAAUUGACGGGGGCCCGCACAAGCGGCGGAGCAUGCGGCUUAAUUCGACGCAACGCGAAGAACCUUACCAAGGCUUGACAUAUAGGGAAAUCUCAUAGAGAUAUGAGGUCCGCAAGGGCCCUAUACAGGUGGUGCAUGGUUGUCGUCAGCUCGUGUCGUGAGAUGUUGGGUUAAGUCCCGCAACGAGCGCAACCCUCGUUCAAUGUUGCCAGCGCGUAAUGGCGGGGACUCAUUGGAGACUGCCGGGGUCAACUCGGAGGAAGGUGGGGAUGACGUCAAAUCAUCAUGCCCCUUAUGUCUUGGGCUGCACGCAUGCUACAAUGGCAGAUACAAAGGGCUGCGAUACCGUAAGGUGGAGCGAAUCCCAAAAAGUCUGUCUCAGUUCGGAUUGGGGUCUGCAACUCGACCCCAUGAAGUCGGAGUCGCUAGUAAUCGCAGAUCAGCAACGCUGCGGUGAAUACGUUCCCGGGCCUUGCACACACCGCCCGU